rnacentral:piRNA from 1 species
UCUUAUGCUUGCUUACCGUCUCAGUUGGUU